CCCCUCUCAGGGUCACACCUGGAGAGUUUCCAGUACCCUACCGGUCUCGGCUGUGGGAGGAAGAGUCAAGCAGAGGCAUAUCCAUUCCAUUCUUAGCUUGGGCGGUGGCUAGCGAGGGGAAGGCAAUCUGCUACAAGU
rfam:Ornithorhynchus anatinus chromosome 2, whole genome shotgun sequence.